rnacentral:rRNA from 1 species
UACGGGGGGAGCAAGCGUUGUUCGGAUUUACUGGGCGUAAAGGGCGCGUAGGCGGUCAGCACAAGUCAGUUGUGAAAUCUCCGGCGUUAACUCGGAAAGGUCAACUGAUACUGUGCGACUAGAGUGCGGAAGGGGCAACUGGAAUUCUCGGUGUAGCGGUGAAAAUGCGUAGAUAUCGAGAGGAACACCUGCGGCGAAGGCGGGUUGCUGGGCCGACACUGACGCUGAUGCGCGAAAGCCAGGGGAGCGAACGGGG